ensembl:snRNA U6 U6 spliceosomal RNA
GUGCUUGUUUGGGCUGCAUAUAUACUAAAAUUGUACAGAUAAAGAGAAAGUUAGCAUGACUCCUGAACAAAGAUGAUAUACAAAUUCACGAAGUGUUACAUAUUUUA